rnacentral:misc_RNA from 1 species
GAUGAAGAACGUAGCGAAAUGCGAUACUUGGUGUGAAUUGCAGAAUCCCGUGAACCAUCGAGUCUUUGAACGCAAGUUGCGCCCGAAGCCAUUAGGCCGAGGGCACGCCUGCCUGGGCGUCACACGUCGUUGCCCCCCCAUCUACUCCUUCGGGAUUGCGGGGGGCGGAUGAUGGCCUCCCGUGUGCCUCGUCGCGCGGUUGGCCUAAAUGCCAAGUCCUCGGCGACGCACGCCACGACAAUCGGUGGUUGCGAAACCUCGGUUGCCCGUCGUGUGCGGUCGUCGCGCAUCGAGGGCUCGAAAAAAUUGCCGGGCUUCGGCUCGACUUUCAACGCGACCCCAGGUCAGGCGGGGUUACCCGCUGAAUUUAAGCAUAUCAAUAAGCGGAGGA